rnacentral:rRNA from 1 species
UACGUAGGGAGCAAGCGUUGUCCGGAAUCAUUGGGCGUAAAGCGCGCGUAGGUGGCCAUGUAAGUCCGCUGUGAAAGUCAAAGGCUCAACCCUUGAAAGCCGGUGGAUACUGCAUGGCUAGAGUACGGAAGAGGCGAGUGGAAUUCCUGGUGUAGCGGUGGAAUGCGCAGAUAUCAGGAGGAACACCAAUAGCGAAGGCAGCUCGCUGGGACGUCACUGACACUGAGGCGCGAAAGCGUGGGGAGCGAACAGG